GACCCGCCUUCUAGCUGCCUGAGGAUGCUCAGUCUGUUCCUCGCUUCCUUAGGGUGAAGAUGUAGAACUCAGCUCCUCCUGCACCAUGCCUGCCUGGAGGGUGCCCUGCUCGCACCUUGAUGAUAAUGGACUGAAACUCUGAAUCUAGAACUGAGAAGAACCUGAGGGAAGAAAUGAAGUAGUUGAAGAAUAAAGAGGAUUCUUUCAGAGCAAACAUAUUGAGCAGGAUGGGGCCUUCCCAGAUAUCUGCAAGACUCACAUCACUGCGAAUAGUUCAGCAUUAUCGGUGACAAAAAGAAAAAUUAAAAGAGAAAGAAAAGAAAGGAAAGAAAAGAAAAGAAAAUCACAGACCACUGCCCAGUGUGGCCAAGCUCUGUUACUGUGUGUGCUUCUUUGACAUACAGCAAUCCUGUUCAAUACGAGAAUGUUCGUCAUCUCAACUUCCCACUCAUUCACUAGGAUGUUUGAGGAGCCUGGUUGCCACAGGUGCUUAACAGCAGGUGUAUAGUGUUUGUAUUGAUUUUUUAAGCAGUUAGCUCACUGCUUAAUCCUUUAUGCCUGAGAGUACAAAAAUCUUUGCUCUACUGAAACUGUUUCCCAGACUCUGACAUGCAAUUAAUACUAAUUAAACAUCAUAUUAAAUUUUAA